AGAAUCAACGCUGGCGGCGUGCCUAACACAUGCAAGUCGAACGAGAAAGUGGAGCAAUCCAUGAGUAAAGUGGCGCACGGGUGAGUAACACGUAACUAACCUACCCUUGAGUGGGGGAUAACCUAGGGAAAACCUGGGCUAAUACCGCAUAAUACCUUUGGGUCAAAGGAGCAAUUCGCUUAAGGAGGGGGUCGCGGCCGAUUAGUUAGUUGGCGGGGUAAUGGCCCACCAAGACUGUGAUCGGUAUCCGGCCUGAGAGGGCGCGACGGAACGACACUGGAACUGAAACACGGUCCAGACUCCUACGGGAGGCAGCAGUGGGGAAUUUUGCGCAAUGGGGAAACCCUGACGCAGCAACGCCGCGUGGAGGAUGAAGUCCCUUGGGACGUAAAACUCCUUUUCGAUCGGGACGAUUAUGACGGUACCGGAAGAAGAAGCCCCGGCUAAACUUCGUGCCAGCAGCCGC
rnacentral:rRNA from 1 species